rnacentral:rRNA from 1 species
GACGAACGCUGGCGGCGUGCUUAACACAUGCAAGUCGAACGGAAAGGCCCUGCUUGCAGGGUGCUCGAGUGGCGAACGGGUGAGUAACACGUGGGUGAUCUGCCCCUCACUUUGGGAUAAGCCUGGGAAACUGGGUCUAAUACUGGAUAGGACCAUGCUGUAGGUGGUGUGGUGGAAAGAUUAGUUUCGGUAAGGGAUGAGCUCGCGGCCUAUCAGCUUGUUGGUGGGGUAAUGGCCUACCAAGGCGUCGACGGGUAGCCGGCCUGAGAGGGUGGACGGCCACAUUGGGACUGAGAUACGGCCCAGACUCCUACGGGAGGCAGCAGUGGGGAAUAUUGCACAAUGGGCGCAAGCCUGAUGCAGCGACGCCGCGUGGGGGAUGACGGCCUUCGGGUUGUAAACUCCUUUCAGCCAUGACGAAGCCCUUGUGGUGACGGUAGUGGUAGAAGAAGCACCGGCUAACUACGUG